rnacentral:rRNA from 1 species
UACGGAGGGUGCGAGCGUUGUCCGGAAUCACUGGGCGUAAAGGGCGCGUAGGCGGCUUGGGAAGUCCGUGGUGAAAGCUCGAGGCUCAACUUCGAGUCGGCCAUGGAUACUCCUAAGCUCGAGUCGACUAGAGGCAGAUGGAAUUCCGGGUGUAGCGGUGGAAUGCGUAGAGAUCCGGAAGAACACCGGUGGCGAAGGCGGUCUGCUGGGGUCGAACUGGACGCUGAG